rnacentral:rRNA from 1 species
UGAGUACGAGCUGCUACGGCAGCGAAGUGGGUGACGUCAAGCUUCCAAGAAAAGCCCUAUACCCGUUAAGGCAUGAUGGCCUGUACCCGAAACCGACACAGGUGGGGUGGUAGAGAAUACCGAGGGGCGCGAGGUAACUCUCUCUAAGGAACUCGGCAAAAUGGCCCCGUAACUUCGGGAGAAGGGGUGCCACCGCAAGGUGGUCGCAGUGAAGAGGCCCAGGCGACUGUUUACCAAAAACACAGGUCUCCGCUAAGUCGCAAGACGAUGUAUGGGGGCUGACGCCUGCCCAGUGCCGGAAGGUUAAGGAAGUUGGUCAGCGAAAGCGAAGCUAGCGACUGAAGCCCCGGUGAACGGCGGCCGUAACAAUAACGGUCCUAAGGUAGCGAAAUUCCUUGUCGGGUAAGUUCCGACCCGCACGAAAGGCGUAACGAUCUGGGCGCUGUCUCGGAGAGAGGCUCGGCGAAAUAGAAUUGUCUGUGAAGAUGCGGACUACGUGCACCCGGACAGAAAGACCCUAUGAAGCUUUACUGUAGCUUGGUAUUGUGCCCGGGCUCUGAAUGCGCAGGAUAGGUGGGAGGCUUUGAUCCAUGGCUUGCGGGUCAUGGUGAGCCAACGGUGAGAUACCACUCUUUCAGAGCUAGGGUUCUAACGGUCACCCGUUAUCCGGGGACCGGACAGUAUCUGGUGGGCAGUUUGACUGGGGCGGUCGCCUCCUAAAAGGUAACGGAGGCGCGCAAAGGUUUGCUCAGGCUGGUUGGAAAUCAGCCGACGAGUGUAAAAGCAGAAGCAAGCUUGACUGUGAGACCAACAAGUCGAACAGGGACGAAAGUCGGCUUUAGUGAUCCGACGGUUCUGAGUGGAAGGGCCGUCGCUCAACGGAUAAAAGUUACUCUAAGGAUAACAGGCUGAUCUCCCCCAAGAGUUCACAUCGACGGGGAGGUUUGGCACCUCGAUGUCGGCUCAUCGCAACCUGGGGCUGAAGUCGGUCCCAAGGGUUGGGCUGUUCGCCCAUUAAAGCGGUACGCGAGCUGGGUUCAGAACGUCGUGAGACAGUUCGGUCCAUAUCCGGUGCAUGCGCAGGAAUAUUGAGAGGAGUUCUCCCUAGUACGAGAGGACCGGGAGGAACGCACCUCUGGUGUACCAGUUAUCGUGCCAACGGUAAACGCUGGGUAGCCAUGUGCGGAGAGGAUAACCGCUGAAAGUAUCUAAGUGGGAAGCCCACCUCAAGAUGAGUAUUCCCAUGGCAUAAGCCAGUAAGGUCACGGGAAGAACACCCGUUGAUAGGCUCUACGUGGAAGCGCAGUAAUGCGUGAAGCGGAGGAGUACUAAUAGACCGAGGGCUUGAC